rnacentral:rRNA from 1 species
AUUGAACGCUGGCGGCAGGCCUAACACAUGCAAGUCGAGCGAGUGGCGGACGGGUGAGUAAUGUCUGGGUAACUGCCCGAUGGGGGGGGGUUACUACUGGAAACGCUAGCUCAUACCGCGUACCGCUGGAUGUUCCCAGUGGGGACUAGCUAGUAGGUGAGGUAACGGCUCACCAAGGCGACGAUACCUAGCUGGUCUGGGAGGAUGACCAGCCACACUGGAACUGAGAAACGGUCCAGACUCCUACGGGAGGCAGCAGUGGGGAAUCUUGCACAAUGGGCGAAAGCCUGAUGCAGCAAUGCCGCGUGUGUGAAGAAGGCCUUCGGAUUGUAAAGUACUUUCAGCGGGGAGGCGUUACCCACAGAAGAAGCACCGGCUAACUACGUGCCAGCAGCCGCGGUAAUAC